rnacentral:rRNA from 1 species
GCUCAAAUUUGAAAUCUGGCCCUUGGGUCCGAAUUGUAAUUUGUAGAGGAUGAUUUUGGUGCGGUAUCUUCCGAGUUCCUUGGAACAGGACGCCUUAGAGGGUGAGAGCCCCGUACGGUUGAAUGCCUAGCCUCUGUAAAUCUCCUUCGACGAGUCGAGUAGUUUGGGAAUGCUGCUCUAAAUGGGAGGUAAAUUUCUUCUAAAGCUAAAUACUGGCCAGAGACCGAUAGCGCACAAGUAGAGUGAUCGAAAGAUGAAAAGCACUUUGAAAAGAGGGUUAAAUAGCACGUGAAAUUGUUGAAAGGGAAGGAUUUAUGACCAGACUUUUUCUGGGCGGAUCAUCCGGUGUUCUCACCGGUGCACUUUGCCCAGUUUAGGCCAGCAUCGAUUUUUGGAGAGGGAUAAAAGCUUUAGGAAUGUGGCUCCUCCGGGAGUGUUAUAGCCUAUUGUAUAAUACCUUUCCGGGGAUCGAGGUACGCGCUUCUGCAAGGAUGCUGGCGUAAUGGUUAUCAAUCACCCGUCUUGAAACACGGACCAAGGAGUCGAACAUUUGUGCGAGUGUUUGGGUGUUAAACCCUCACGCGUAAUGAAAGUGAACGGAGGUGAGAGCCCUUACGGGUGCAUCAUCGACCGAUCCUGAAGUUUUCGGAUGGAUUUGAGUAAGAGCAUAACUGUUCGGACCCGAAAGAUGGUGAACUAUGCGUGGAUAGGGUGAAGCCAGAGGAAACUCUGGUGGAGGCUCGCAGCGGUUCUGACGUGCAAAUCGAUCGUCAAAUCUGCGCAUGGGGGCGAAAGACUAAUCGAACCAUCUA